AGUGAGGAAUAUUGGUCAAUGGGCGAGAGCCUGAACCAGCCAAAUCGCGUGAAGGAUGAAGGUAUUAUGUAUUGUAAACUUCUUUUAUAGGGGAAUAAAGUGCGGGACGUGUCCCGUUUUGUAUGUACCCUGAGAAUAAGGAUCGGCUAACUCCGUGCCAGCAGCCGCGGUAAUACGGAGGAUCCAAGCGUUAUCCGGAUUUAUUGGGUUUAAAGGGUGCGUAGGCGGGUAAUCAAGUCAGCGGUGAAAGUUUGCGGCUCAACCGUAAAAUUGCCGUUGAAACUGGUUACCUUGAGUGUAGAUGAGGUGGGUGGAAUUCGUGGUGUAGCGGUGAAAUGCUUAGAUAUCACGAAGAACUCCAAUUGCGUAGGCAGCUCACUGGGCUACAACUGACGCUGAGGCACGAAGGUGCGGGGAUCAAACAGGAUUAGAUACCCUGGUAGUCCGCACAGUAAACGAUGAAUGCUAGCUGUUGGCGAUACACAGUCAGUGGCACAGCGAAAGCGUUAAGCAUUCCACCUGGGGAGUACGCCGGCAACGGUGAAACUCAAAGGAAUUGAC
rnacentral:rRNA from 1 species